UGAACUAACAUAUGAUGAUGUUCAAAGAGGUUUGGAGCCUUUGUGCUCUCCGUUUAUCCAGAAAAUAAUAAUUUUAUAGUGGUUAUUCCAUCGAUUUAGGAGGUAUUAUGAAGUUUUACUAACUUAAUUGAUAAAAACCCUUGAACGAUGCUCAUUUUGCAUGAAAAAGAGUUAAGCAUACAUUAAUACAAAUGUAGAAUAUGGUAGAAAUUUCAAAACAACACUAAAGAUUAUAGGCUUCAAUAUAUAAAGUAUUUACCAAAAACUCAAUAUUUUUGUAGGGGUUAGCCCAUUGAUUUUUAGAAAAUUUCAAAAAAUAUGACAAUAUUGUUUUAGUUCCUAGUUGCAUCCUGCACUAACAUAUGAUGAUGUUCAAAGAGGUUUGGAGCUUUUUUCGUCUCCGUUUAUCAAGAAAAUAAUAACUUUAUAGUGGUUAUUCCAUCGAUUUAGGGAGUAUUAUGAAGUUUUACUAAAUUAAUUGAUAAAAACCUUUGAACGAUGCUCAUUUUGCAUGAAAAAGAGUUAAGCAUACAUUAAUACAAAUGUAGAAUUUGGUAGAAAUUUUAAAACAACACUAAAGAUUAUAGGCUUCAGUAUAUAAAGUAUUUACCAAAAACUCAAUAUUUUUGUAGGGGUUAGCCCAUUGAUUUUUAGAAAAUUUUAAAAAAUAUGACAAUAUUGUUUUAAUGUCUAGUUGCAUCCUGCACUAACAUAUGAUGAUGUUCAAAGAGGUUUGAAGCCUUUGUCGUCUCCGUUUAUCAAAAAAAUAAUAAUUUUAUAGUGGUUAUUCCAUCGAAUUAGGAGGUAUUAUGAAGUUUUACUAAAUUAUUUGAUAAAAACUAUUGAACGAUGCUCAUUUACCAUGAAAAAGAGUUUAGCAUACAUUAAUACAAAUGUAGAAUAUGGUAGAAAUUUUAAAACAACACUAAAGAUUAUAGGCUUCAGUAUAUAAAGUAUUUACUAAAAACUCAAUAUUUUUGUAGGGGUUAGUUAGCCCAUAGAUUUUGAGAAAAUUUCAAAAAAUAUGAAAAUAUUAUUUUAAUGGCUAGUUGCAUCCUGAACUAACAUAUGAUGAUGUUCAAAGAGGUUUGGAGCCUUUUUGCUCUCCGUUUAUCAAGAAAAUAAUAAUUUUAUAGUGGUUAUUGCAUCGAUUUAGGAGGUAUUAUGAAGUUUUACUAAAUUAAUUGAUAAAAACCAUUGAACGAUGCUCAUUUUGCAUGAAAAAGAGUUUAGAAUACAUUAAUACAAAUGUAGAAUAUGGUUGAAAUUUUAAAACAACACUAAAGAUUAUAGGCUUCAGUAUAUAAAGUAUUUACCAAAAACUCAAUAUUUUUGUAAGGGUUAGCCCAUAGAUUUUGAGAAAAUUUCAAAAAAUAUGACAAUAUUGUUUUAAUGCCUAGUUGCAUCCUGAACUAACAUAUGAUGAUGUUCAAAGAGGUUUGGAGCCUUUGUGCUCUCCGUUUAUCAAGAAAAUAAUAAUUUUAUAGUGGUUAUUCCAUCGAUUUAGGAGGUAUUAUGAAGUCUUACUAAAUUAAUUGAUAAAAACAUUGAACGAUGCUCAUUUUGCAUAAAAAAUAGUUUAGCGUACAUUAAUACAAAUGUAGAAUAUUGUUGAAAAUUUAAAACAACACUAAAGAUUAUAGGCUUCAGUAUAUAAAGUAUUUUCCAAAAGCUCAAUAUUUUUGUAAGGGUUAGCCCAUAGAUUUUGAGAAUAUUUCAAAAAAAUAUGACAAUAUUGUUUUUAUGCCUAGUUGCAUCCUGCACUAACAAAUGAUGAUUUUCAAAGAGGUUUGGAGCCUUUGUGCUCUCCGUUUAUCAAGAAAAUAAUAAUUUUAUAGUGGUUAUUUCAUCGAUUUAGGUGGUAUUAUGAAGUAUUACUAAAUUAAUUGAUAAAAACAAUUUAACGAUGCUGAUUUACCAUGAAAAAGAGUUAAGCAUACAUUAAUUCAAGUGUAGAAUAUGGUAGAAAUUUUAAAACAACACUAAAGAUUAUAGGCUUCAGUAUACAAAGUAUUUACCAAAAACUCAAUAUUUUUGUAGGGGUUAGCCCAUAGAUUUUAAGAAAAUUUCAAAAAAUAUAUAACAAUAUUGUUUUAAUGCCUAGUUGCAUCCUGCACAAAUAUAUGAUGAUGUUCAAAGAGGUUUGGAGCCUUUGUGCUCUCUGUUUAUCAAGAAAAUAAUAAUUUUAUAUUGGUUAUCCAUCGAUUUAGGGGGUAUUAUGAAGUUUUACUAAAUUAAUUGAUAAAAACAAUUGAAUGAUGCUCAUUUACCAUGAAAAAGAGUUUAGCAUACAUCAAUACAAAUGUCGAAUAUGGUAGAAAUUUUAAAACAACACUAAAGAUUAUAGGCUUUAGUAUACAAAGUAUUUACCAAAAACUCAAUAUUUUUGUAGGGGUUAGCCCAUUGAUUUUAAAAAAUUUCAAAAAAUAUGACAAUAUUGUUUUAAUGGCUAGUUGCAUCCUGAACUAACAUAUGAUGAUGUUCAAAGAGGUUUGGAGCCUUUGUGCUCUCCGUUUAUCAAGAAAAUAAUUAUUUUAUAGUGGUUAUUGCAUAGAUUUAGAAGGUAUUAUGAAGUUUUACUAAAUUAAUUGAUAAAAACCAUUGAACGAUGCUCAUUUACCAUGAAAAAAGAGUUUAGCGUAUAUUAAUACAAAUAUAGAAUAUGGU
rnacentral:lncRNA from 1 species